rnacentral:tRNA from 1 species
GGGGAUAAAGCUCAGCUGUGGAGCAUGUGCUUGGCAUGCACAAGGUCCUGGGUUCAAUCUCCAGUGCCUCUG